rnacentral:rRNA from 1 species
GUUAUAGGGUCAAGUGACAAAGAGCAUGUGGUGGAUGCCUUGGCGAUGAUAGGCGAAGAAGGACGUGAUAGCCUGCGAAAAGCUUCGGGGAGCUGGCAAACAAGCUGUGAUCCGGAGAUGUCCGAAUGGGGAAACCCACCCGCAAGGGUAUCGUUGGCUGAAUACAUAGGCCAACGAGGCGAACCGGGCGAACUGAAACAUCUCAGUAGCUCGAGGAAAAGAAAUCAACCGAGAUUCCGAAAGUAGUGGCGAGCGAAAUCGGAAGAGCCUGCCAGAGAUAGCAUAGUUGUUAGCAAAACGGGAUGGAAAGCCCGGCCAUAGCAGGUGAUAGCCCUGUAUGCGAAAACAGCCAUGUGGUACCAAGCUGGGAACAAGUAGGGCGGGGCACGAGAAACCCUGUCUGAACAUGGGGGGACCAUCCUCCAAGGCUAAAUACUCAUCAUCGACCGAUAGUGAACCAGUACCGUGAGGGAAAGGCGAAAAGAACCCCGGGAGGGGAGUGAAAUAGAUCCUGAAACCGCAUGCUUACAAAAAGUCGGAGCCCGCAAGGGUGACGGCGUACCUUUUGUAUAAUGGGUCAGCGACUUACAUUCAGUGGCAAGCUUAACCGAAUAGGGAAGGCGCAGGGAAACCGAGUCCGAACAGGGCGAUUUUAGUCGCUGGGUGUAGACCCGAAACCAGGUGAUCUAUCCAUGGCCAGGAUGAAGGUGCCGUAACAGGUACUGGAGGUCCGAACCGACUAGUGUUGCAAAACUAGCGGAUGAGCUGUGGAUAGGGGUGAAAGGCUAAACAAACCUGGAAAUAGCUGGUUCUCUCCGAAAACUAUUUAGGUAGUGCCUCAAGUAUUACCUGCGGGGGUAGAGCACUGUUUUGGCUAGGGGGUCAUGGCGACUUACCAAACCAAGGCAAACUCCGAAUACUGCAGAGUAGAGCUUGGGAGACAGAGCACCGGGUGCUAACGUCCGGACUCAAGAGGGAAACAACCCAGACCGCCAGCUAAGGUCCCUAAAAUUGGCUAAGUGGGAAACGAAGUGGGAAGGCUAAGACAGUCAGGAUGUUGGCUUAGAAGCAGCCACCAUUUAAAGAAAGCGUAAUAGCUCACUGAUCGAGUCGUCCUGCGCGGAAGAUGUAACGGGGCUCAAGCCAGUUACCGAAGCUGCGGAUGCACGAGCAAUCGUGCGUGGUAGGAGAGCGUUCUGUAAGCCUGUGAAGGUGUCUGGUAACGGAUGCUGGAGGUAUCAGAAGUGCGAAUGCUGACAUGAGUAGCGUUAAAGCGGGUGAAAAGCCCGCUCGCCGUAAGCGCAAGGUUUUCUACGCAACGUUCAUCGGCGUAGAGUGAGUCGGCCCCUAAGGCGAGGCAGAGAUGCGUAGCUGAUGGGAAACAGGUCAAUAUUCCUGUACCGCUCAAUAGUGCGAUGUGGGGACGAAGAAGGUUAGCUCAGCCAACUGUUGGAAUAGUUGGUUCAAGCCUGUAGUCGUGCCCGGUAGGCAAAUCCGCCGGGCUAAGAUGAGGGGUGACAACGAGGCAGCUUGCUGCCGAAGUGAGUGAUACCCUGCUUCCAGGAAAAGCCACUAAGCUUCAGCUAUUGACGACCGUACCGCAAACCGACACUGGUGCGCGAGAUGAGUAUUCUAAGGCGCUUGAGAGAACUCAGGAGAAGGAACUCGGCAAAUUGAUACCGUAACUUCGGGAGAAGGUAUGCCCCAAGUAGGUGAACUUGAACAAAGGGAGCCCAAAGGGGUUGCAAAAAAUCGGUGGCUGCGACUGUUUAAUAAAAACACAGCACUCUGCAAACACGAAAGUGGACGUAUAGGGUGUGACGCCUGCCCGGUGCUGGAAGAUUAAGUGAUGGGGUGCAAGCUCUUGAUCGAAGUCCCAGUAAACGGCGGCCGUAACUAUAACGGUCCUAAGGUAGCGAAAUUCCUUGUCGGGUAAGUUCCGACCUGCACGAAUGGCGUAACGAUGGCCACACUGUCUCCUCCUGAGACUCAGCGAAGUUGAAAUGUUUGUGAUGAUGCAAUCUCCCCGCGGAAAGACGGAAAGACCCCAUGAACCUUUACUGUAGCUUUGUAUUGGACUUUGAACGGAUCUGUGUAGGAUAGGUGGGAGGCUUUGAAGUGAGGGCGCUAGCUCUCAUGGAGCCGACGUUGAAAUACCACCCUGGUGCGUUUGAGGUUCUAACCUGGAUCCAUCAUCUGGAUCGGGGACAGUGCAUGGUAGGCAGUUUGACUGGGGCGGUCUCCUCCCAAAGCGUAACGGAGGAGUUCGAAGGUACGCUAGUUACGGUCGGACAUCGUGACGAUAGUGCAAUGGCAUAAGCGUGCUUAACUGCGAGACCGACAAGUCGAGCAGGUGCGAAAGCAGGACAUAGUGAUCCGGUGGUUCUGUAUGGAAGGGCCAUCGCUCAACGGAUAAAAGGUACUCUGGGGAUAACAGGCUGAUACCGCCCAAGAGUUCAUAUCGACGGCGGUGUUUGGCACCUCGAUGUCGGCUCAUCUCAUCCUGGGGCUGUAGCCGGUCCCAAGGGUAUGGCUGUUCGCCAUUUAAAGAGGUACGUGAGCUGGGUUUAAAACGUCGUGAGACAGUUUGGUCCCUAUCU